CACUGCACAGAGCCCAUGGUGGGAAGAUUUUACUAUUGCAAAAUGAGGAAGACUAUUACAAAUGGUUCCUUGGUAUAGUGCAGAAGCAUAUGUGUGAAAAAGAUGACUUGUAUUUGUAGAAAAUACAGCAGGAUGAUAAAGAUGAGCCAAUUACUGUUUGCUAUUCAGAUCAGUAAUCCCAUUAGUCAAUCUAACUACUUCCAUGAGAAAGAUUUUAAGACCAGAAGGAAUUUUAUGAUUAUCUAAUCUGACCUCCUGCAUAAUACAGGCCAAACCUAGAAAUAUCUCC